ensembl:lncRNA
AAGCUGAACUGGGCUCCCCGUUGCAUUUCUAAUUCAAUGAUAAUUUAAAACUGACUCCAGUUUCUCCUAUAAUGCUGUAUUCCUUUUAUCAGGAAUUCCAGGUUCCUUUCUCCUGUUUCCUGGGAUUUGCAAAACAGCAAAAUCAGCCAGUUUACAUUUAAGAUGUUUUGAUUCUUUUCUCAGACUUUUGCCAGUGUACUUAACGCAGAAUGAUUAAAAGCUGUGUGUUCUGUUAGAACUGUUAUAGUGUUUAAACAAGGAAGUCUGUGUUUGUUUAAGAGAAUGGGGAAAUGGUUAUCUUGACAGAUUAGACUGAAAAAACAGGACAGCCACAGUCUAGCACAGAUGUCCACAUUUGCCACUUGGCUGGCUUUUUGAGGUAUUCUAAACAAAAGUGGCUUGUGUGCUGGUGCUGGAGCUCUGCUUGGCACCUGACUGAGGAAUGUGAGUCAGAGUCACUGCCAGGCCCUGGGUGUCUUUGUGGGCACGUGUUCCCAGGUUUGAAAUUUUUCAGAGUCUGUUUAACUGUGUCAUAAUUAAUGGAACACAGGAGGGAUUUCUCUUGCUGGCUUCCACACCCCGUUCCAGGGUGAUUUCAUCUCACAUCACACGUGGUUCCUGUGGCUUCACUGAGCAGAAGCCCCGGGGAUGACCAUCUUCAUCCAUCUUUUACAAGCUUGAUCUUUAACUGGAGGAAACAUGAGGGGCAGCUGUGGUUAAGUGGCAAACGCAUGGGAAGAAAAUUCAGGACCCCUGAGUCCAGCCAGAGCUCUCCCACUUGCUAGCUGCUUGGUCUUGGUCGGGUCCUCAUUUUCCCUCCUAGGGUCGUGCAGCUGUGGUGGAUGAGACGGAUGAGGGCAGCCCAUGCUUAGCGAGCCUGCCCUGUGUGCUUGGCCCUGCUGCAGGCUCUGCACGUGGUGCCUCGUGCUCUCCUCCAAAGAGCUUGCUGAGGUGAUGUGAUGCUUCAAGCUUGAAGCUUAUAGCCAUGAAGGAAGCACCCCCAACUUCCAAGAAUAUCUGAGCAGAAACUCAGGAAUGGCUGCUGUCCUUGCUGACAGUGCUGGCACUUGCCAACCUCAAAACAGCCUGCCUGUGGACUUCCCAAUAAGUGCAGUGAUGAAGAUUAAAAGAAGUAAGGAUGAAGAUUAAGGAGUUAAAGAAUGACUGGUUCCCUACCCCCACUAGUCCCCAUAGGAAUCCUGCUGGCAGAUCAUGCAGGCAAGAUAAACCUGAAGAGUCAGUGCACACAAUGGAGAAUGAUGCAGAAUCCAACCUCAUGCCUUAAUGAUUCACUGAAAUUUUUUCCCCCUUUUCCCUUUAAAAGCUGUCAUGGCUGGGCAGAAUGCUCAGAGUUGGUCUUGGGACAUGAGUCCACCUUCCCCCAAGAAUACUAGCUUUGCUGAUUAAAGCAUCUUUACUU